rnacentral:rRNA from 1 species
UACAGAGGUCUCAAGCGUUGUUCGGAUUCACUGGGCGUAAAGGGCGCGUAGGCGGGCUCUUAAGUCAGGGGUGAAAGCCCAAGGCUCAACCUUGGAAUUGCCUUUGAUACUGAGGGCCUUGAGACCGGAAGAGGUCGGCGGAACUGCGAGUGUAGAGGUGAAAUUCGUAGAUAUUCGCAAGAACACCAGUGGCGAAGGCGGCCGACUGGUCCGGUUCUGACGCUGAGGCGCGAAAGCGUGGGGAGCAAACAGG